UGCCAGCCGCCGCGGUAAUACGGAGGAUCCAAGCGUUAUCCGGAAUUAUUGGGUUUAAAGCGUACGUAGGCGGAUUAAUAAGUUAGAGGUGAAGUCCCAGGGCCCAACCCUGGAACUGCCUUUAAAACUGUUAGUCUUGAGAUCGAGAGAGGUGAGUGGAAUUCCAAGUGUAGAGGUGAAAUUCGUAGAUAUUUGGAGGAACACCAGUGGCGAAGGCGGCCUCCUGGAUCUGUACUGACACUAAGGUGCGAAAGCGUGGGUAGCGAACAGGAUUAGAUA
rnacentral:rRNA from 1 species